ensembl:lncRNA
AAGACAGGAGAUGAUGAUUUAUGGAGGCGUUUAUCAGAUACAUAACACAAAGUCUGUUUCAUCGAGAGAAUCGAAGAAACAUAUCAUCACUGAUAAAGUGUCUUUUGGUGGUUAUUGUGGACGAAAAAUAAACACAUUUCAGCAACAAAAAACAAAACUAUGUGUGACUUCUGGGAGCUCGUCUUUAUCAGAAGCCUCAAAUACUUAAAGAUAAUUUGCCUCAAUAGAUAAUGAUACUACUGCUGUGAUACCCAGAUCCUACGCAUGUGUCUCAAUCCUUGCAAUGCACAGAGAAGUGCUCACUGAGCAUUUAUCUGUGUUGUUGAUGUUUUUGUAGAAGUCAUUAUCAUUGCUUUGCCUCCUUACACGUCUUUAGCCAAGUACAGGACAGUUGACUGCCUUCUGCGACGCCCGCAACGUUUCUUUAUUACAUAAUUACUUUUGUGUGCGGCCGCUAAUGUGAAUGUCAGUCACGGGGAUUUUGGUCGCAGAUGCUUAGUUCAUUCUUCAUUCAUCCUGCCGCAUGACUGUGUUUAGAGGUUGUUUGCAUUUUAUCACUAAGUAUACAUCAAAGAUGGUCCUUUAUACAUUUUUUUUUCAUUCCAUGUUUCAUUUUUCUGUGUUUGUGCAUGUGUUUUGUGUCGUUCCGUGUCGGUGUGUUCUGCGUCUACAUUGCCUCUGUGUGUGUUGUGAAGUCUGUAGAGAACCACAUGGACCGUAUAAACCCAAACUGCAUAGCAGGAGCUAGCGGCCCCUAUAAGGUAGUAUCAUUUACUGUACCGGCCGAGGCCCCCGGCUCUCUGUCUGUUCGUCCGUCUGUCCGUUUGGAAGAAUCACUGUAAAGCCAAGCUUGAAGGGGCAUGAAAAGGUCAAUUAAACUCUGCAAGAAGUACCGUGCACCAAACGCACACGCUCUGCAUGUUGUGGCUAGAGGUGGCACACUGGGGGAAGCUCUCAAAGUGAUUGUUUGGAUUUUUUUUUUUGUGUAUCUGGGAGAUACUCAUCCAAACACAGCAUAUGACCUCCAGUAGUGUUUUUUCUUUUUUGACUUUGGUCUUUUAUAAGGGGUUUAUAUACUGUUAAUAUACUGUAUAUUUAAACUGGCUAUUUUUGGAGGAUGAAAUACAUUUUUCUGCCUCUGCAUCUCCCGACCGCGUUGCUCUUCAAAAGAAUACCAACUAUGCUUGGUAAUGUCGCCUCCUCUGCUUGGUCUGAUAGUGAUUCCUCUGCAUAGAUCUGAGGACAUAUCUCUCCGUAUCACUGGGACACCUCUGACAUCCGCUCACAUAACCUCACCUCCGACCAGUAACACGUGUCCCUGCGUUUCUCACUGCUUUCUCCUCUCUAGCUGGACUGACUCUGCUGGCCCCAAAAGCAACAACAAAAAUAAAUCCUUUCGUCCUAGUAGAGUUGUCACAUACAGUAGACGUACUAACCUGCAUGCUCACUGUCCGGGCUUUAAAAGGCUUGCUAAUCAUGGUGGGUGUUGGAGGAAAUGAAUGUAACGCAUACGGUAUUUAUGACAAAUAGGCCUUAAAAAAAAAUCAAAAAUUAUUUUUUCAAACUAAGGCCUAUUACUUUAGCUUAAACCUUAAAACCUUGAUGUAUUUCUUUUCUUUUCCAGGUGGAAGCAGAUCUGGGCUACCCCGGAGGAAAGGCUCGAAUCAUUCAUAAAGAGUCGGAUAUAAUCAUGGCAUUUGCCAUCAAUAAGUCCAACUCCAACGAGAUAGUGUUGGCCUCCACUCAUGAUGUCCAGGAAGUGGACGUGUCAACGCUGGUGGCUGUGCAGCCCUUCACCUGGAUAGGGGACGAAUUUGAUAAGGAGUCCCGCAGGUGAGAUUCAGGGCAGAAUCAUAGGCGGCAUUUUGUCUGUCGUCAAAGGGAUCAACGUUGUGCAUAAUGCUUUAUAUUAAGCAUCAUUAACGUAUCAUGUUCUGGUUCCACACAUUCAAAUGAAAAAGGGAAACAACAAUCGUAACUGUACCGAGCAGAUCCUAACAGUC